GGGUCAGUAGGUCGGUCGUGCCAACGGUAUGCACUGGUGUCACUGGUUCCUACCUUCUGAAGAACCAUCAUGCCAUUCAGUUGGUGUGGCGGGGAAUCAGGACUGUUACUUUGAAAAAAUUAGAGUGUUUAAAGCAGGCUCACGCUUGAAUACAUUAGCAUGGAAUAAUGAAAUAGGACGUUUGAUUCUAUUUUGUUGGUUUCUAGGAUCGACGUAAUGAUUAAUAGGGAUAGUUG
rnacentral:rRNA from 1 species